CCUACGGGUGGCAGCAGUGGGGAAUAUUGCACAAUGGGGGCAACCCUGAUGCAGCGACGCCGCGUGCGCGAAGAAGUAAUUCGUUAUGUAAAGCUCUAUCAGCAGGGAAGAAAAUGACGGUACCUGUGUAAGAAGCCCCGGCUAACUACGUGCCAGCAGCCGCGGUAAUACGGAGGCGGCAAGCGUUAUCCGGAUUUACUGGGUGUAAAGGGAGCGUAGACGGCAGUGCAAGUCUGGAGUGAAAGGCGGGGGCUCAACCCCCGGACUGGUCUGGAAACUGUACGGCUGGAGUGCAGGAGAGGUAAGUGGAAUGCAUGGUGUAGCGGUGAAAUGCGUAGAUAUUAGGAGGAACACCAGUGGCGAAGGCAGCUUACUGGACUGUAACUGACGUUGAGGCACGAAAGCGUGGGGAGCAAACAGGAUUAGAUACCCGAGUAGUC
rnacentral:rRNA from 1 species